AAUAAAUUCUCUGGGAUUUUGAGCAAGGGAUCAUCAUUGAGGAAUAGAAAUAACUUCAGGUUUGGGCAUUCAAACACUUGAGGAAGCUCAGGAAUUUUGCUAUGUCGCAAAGAGAUUGAUGUGCAUUGCUCAAAAAAUUCCUUCUCUGGACAUUCUUCCAACACAGUGUGAUAUGCUAGAGUCAAGACAGGAUGAUGCUUGGCCGCAACUGAGGCUUCAAAGCUGCGAACAACAUCAUGCAUUUUCACCAAUUUAUCCUGGUCUUCUUCCAGUAACAGACAAGACCUUUUGAGGUCGUUGACAACUUUAAGCAUCUAUUUCUUGUUGUUUGGAGUGUGGUGCGUUGAUUAAAUAAGCCCAAACCCAUGCUAUAUUUCAAUAAGUCAUUAAUAGUACAAAGGUGAGAUAGUUGUCCACAAAGCAGGAACAAGGACUUUUCUUCUUCUCCUAAAAAGUUGUCACUGAAUUCUAGGGCUGAGUAAACUCUAGCUUCAAUUCCCAGGUUGUCAAAUUUUUUCAGCUCUUCCAGUGCAUCAUUCCAUUCAAAUAAUUCCUUGUUUAUCAAUGCUGUUGCAACUACUGCAAUUAAAACAGGUAGACCUGCACAUCUUCUAGCUAUUUCAACUGCUAUAGGUUUUAUAUUGGAAUCUUUCACACUACCUACCUUCUUUUCAAAUAGAUGCCAUGCAUCUUCACCCUCUAAAACUUCAAGCCGGAAAUCCCUUUGUGCGCCCAUCUCCCAAAGUACAUUUUGAUUUCUUGAAGUAACCAUUAUCUUGCAUCCUUUAUGAUCACUGCCAGAAGGAAUUCCUAUUUCCUCCAGUUUGAUUCUUUCCCAAAUAUCAUCCAGAAUUACAAGAAUUUUCUCCCCUUGUUUCAGCCUUGCACAUAACCGAGCUGCCCUUACUUCAAUGGACUCCACAUUAAAUUUGAGACUUAGCCGCUCUGCAAUUUCUUGUUGAAUUCUAUUCAGGUCUACAUUCUGGGUUACAGAUGCCAGAACCACUGCUUCAAAAAUCCCAUCAUCCUUCACUUGCUCAGCAACCUUUUUUGCUAGUGUGGUUUUCCCCACACCGCUCAUCCCGUAGACUCCACUCAGAUCAACAUCAGCAUCCUUUAGCGCCUACACAAUCCCUUUAAAAACUAAAGUUCUUGAUUCAAAUGACUCAUAAUCUUUGGCAGGCCCUAACACUGGAGGGAUGCGGUAGGAAAUUUUACCAAACUUCCCAUCUCCAAGGAACUCAGCAACAACUGUUAUCUCCUUGGAUGCUUUUCUACCAAGCUGGUGUCGUGUCUUCAAAUUAGGACAGCAUCCCAUGAAGCAGCUCUUGUUGGUUGUGUCAUAAUCUUGGAGAAUUUUGUCAGCCACUUCAAUGGCCUCAUCCACAGUCGCCAUCCACUUGUUUAUGAUGUUCUCAAUUUCUUCCCCAUUUCUUCUAGCCUCAUCCACACUGUGCUGCACGCUCUCUCUCUCACCUUUCAGCUUCUCAACUUGAUCUUUUAGGCUCUGGAUGUUGUUAUAAUAGUUCCAUAUAUAGCUAAUUUGGCGCCAAAUGGAAUCAACCAGCGGUUCAGUAAUAUUGGAUACAACGGAAUCGACGACGACGGAUUCCAUUUCCUACUUUUCUUGAUGCUACCAACAGUGAUACUGAAGUCGUCUCCACCACAGAUGUGAGAUCUCUCGACUUUAAUAAAUCCCAGAGCCAAUUGUACCAAGAGAGAGAGAGAGAGAGACUUAUGGGUGCUUGCAGAGCAUUGGACUUUGUAUUG
rnacentral:misc_RNA from 1 species